UACGUAGGUGGCAAGCGUUGUCCGGAUUUACUGGGCGUAAAGGGUAUGCAGGCGGAAGCUUAAGUAGGAAGUGAAAGGUUGGCGCUCAACGCUAACAGGGCUCCCUAUACUGGGCUUCUGGAGGGUCGGCGAGGAAGACGGAACGACACGUGUAGCGGUGAAAUGCGUUGAGAUGUGUCGGAACACCUACGGCGAAAGCAGUCUUCUGGACGAUACCUGACGCUGAGAUACGAAAGCCAAGGGAGCAAACAGG
rnacentral:rRNA from 1 species